UUGAAAGGGAAACGAUUGAAGUCAGUCGUGCUGGCGCGAAAUCAACCCUCUCAUCGGGAGACCCAUGUUGUGGCGAGCCUCAAAACCGCCACAGCAUGUGUCUCACGAUGAGGGGGAGCACUUUCGUGUCCGCUGGUUAACAUCAAUUUCGAACGUCAUAAAAAGGCUGGAGGGAUGUGGGGCCUUCGGGAGUGUUAUAACCUUUAGCGGAAUGUGGUGUUCGGGAUUGAGGAUUGCAACGAAUACCUAGGGUGUUCCACCACCUGCUUCUCUUUGGUAUCCUGGUCACGACGCUGACGGGGUUAGGACUCGCCUUGAACAGUUAGAGUUGGAGCAAUUCGUUAAGGAUGUUGACGUA
rnacentral:rRNA from 1 species